rnacentral:rRNA from 1 species
AUGACGCUGCUGCUGGGCCCGCCGUCGUCGGGGAAGACGACCCUGCUGCUGGCCCUGGCCGGCAAGCUGGACCCGUCUCUGGCGCGCGGCGGCGAGGUGGCCUACAACGGGUUCCCGCUGGACGAGUUCGUGCCGCAGAAGACGGCGGCGUACAUCAGCCAGACGGACGUGCACGUCGGCGAGAUGACCGUCAAGGAGACGCUCGACUUCUCGGCCAGGUGCCAGGGCGUCGGCACCAAGUACGAUCUCCUGACCGAGCUGGCGAGGAGGGAGAAGGAGGCCGGCAUCCGGCCGGAGCCGGAGGUUGACCUUUUUAUGAAGGCCACUUCGAUGGAGGGAGUGGAGAGCAGCCUCCAGACGGACUACACCCUCAGGAUACUGGGGCUGGACAUAUGCGCGGACACCAUCGUCGGCGACCAGAUGCAGAGGGGCAUAUCCGGCGGCCAGAAGAAGCGCGUCACCACCGGAGAGAUGAUUGUCGGUCCGACAAAGGUGCUAUUCAUGGAUGAGAUAUCGACUGGGUUAGACAGCUCCACCACCUUUCAGAUUGUCAAAUGUCUGCAGCAGAUUGUGCACUUGGGCGAGGCCACCAUCCUCAUGUCCCUCCUCCAGCCAGCCCCUGAGACCUUUGAACUCUUUGAUGACAUCAUCCUACUGUCAGAAGGCCAGAUUGUUUAUCAGGGACCCCGUGAUUGUGUCCUUGAAUUCUUUGAGUCCUGUGGCUUUCGCUGCCCAGAGCGCAAGGGCACUGCAGACUUUCUUCAAGAGGUGACAUCAAAGAAGGAUCAGGAGCAGUACUGGGCUGACAAGCAGAGACCGUACCGAUAUGUUUCAGUCUCAGAAUUUGCGCAGACGUUUAAACGGUUUCAUGUUGGACUACAACUCGAGAACCAUCUCUCAGUGCCAUUUGACAAGAGCCGCAGCCAUCAGGCUGCCCUGGUAUUCUCCAAGCACUCGGUAUCAACUCGAGAGCUCCUCAAGGCAUCCUUUGACAAGGAGUGGCUCCUCAUAAAGCGCAACUCAUUUGUAUACAUCUUCAAGACCAUACAGCUCAUUAUUGUAGCCCUUAUCGCGUCAACAGUCUUUCUAAGGACUCAGAUGCACACAAGGAAUCUGGAUGAUGGUUUUGUCUACGUGGGAGCACUGCUUUUUACUCUGAUUGUGAACAUGUUCAAUGGUUUUGCCGAGCUCCCUUUGACCAUCACAAGGUUGCCGGUGUUCUUCAAGCACCGGGACCUCCUCUUCUACCCUGCUUGGAUAUUCACACUACCGAAUGUCGUUCUCAGAAUCCCAUUUUCAAUGAUCGAAUCCAUAGUAUGGGUGGUUGUCACAUACUACACUAUGGGAUUUGCCCCAGAAGCUGACAGAUUCUUCAAGCAGUUGCUCCUUGUGUUCUUGAUCCAGCAGAUGGCUGGUGGGCUUUUCAGAGCAAUUGCUGGCCUUUGUAGAUCCAUGAUCAUUGCUCAAACCGGAGGAGCCCUGUUCCUUCUCAUCUUCUUUGUCCUUGGAGGAUUUCUUCUGCCAAAAGACUUCAUCCCAAAAUGGUGGAUCUGGGGCUAUUGGAUUUCACCGCUGGUGUAUGGAUAUAAUGCUCUAGCAGUGAAUGAAUUCUAUUCUCCUCGGUGGAUGGACAAGUUUGUAAUGGACAAGAAUGGUGUUCCUAAAAGACUAGGUAUGGCUAUGCUUGAAGGCGCCAACAUUUUUACUGACAAAAACUGGUUCUGGAUUGGAGCAGCAGGGCUGUUAGGUUUCACAAUCUUCUUCAAUGUGCUCUUUACUUUGUGCCUCACGUAUCUGGAUCCCUUGGGCAAACCACAAGCUGUUAUAUCUGAAGAAACUGCAAAGGAAGCAGAAGACAAUGGGCUUCCGAGAGAGACAGUAAGAAAUGGCAGCAUGAAAUCGAAGGAUGGGUCCAAUAACAAGGAAAUGAGAGAGAUGAGACUGAGUGCUCGUUUGAGCAAUAGUUCAUCAAAUGGAAUUUCUAAUGGGAUUUCACGAGUCAUGUCCGUUGGCAGCAAUGAAGCUGCUCCAAGAAGAGGAAUGGUUCUUCCAUUCUCCCCUCUAUCUAUGUGUUUUGAUGAUGUGAACUACUAUGUCGACAUGCCUGCAGAAAUGAAACAGCAAGGAGUGACUGAUGAUAGGCUCCAAUUGUUACGUGAUGUUACUGGAUCAUUUAGACCUGGAGUGCUAACAGCACUCAUGGGAGUCAGUGGAGCAGGAAAGACCACUCUUAUGGAUGUUUUAGCUGGAAGAAAGACUGGUGGUUACAUUGAAGGAGAUAUCAGAAUUUCUGGUUAUCCGAAGAACCAAGCAACAUUUGCAAGGAUUUCUGGCUAUUGUGAGCAAAAUGAUAUCCAUUCACCUCAGGUCACGAUUAGGGAAUCUCUGAUAUACUCCGCCUUCCUGCGUCUUCCUGAAAAGAUCGGAGAUCAAGAUAUCACUGAUGAAAUCAAGAUUCAAUUUGUUGAUGAAGUUAUGGAGUUAGUGGAGCUCGACAAUCUGAAGGAUGCUUUAGUUGGACUGCCAGGAAUUUCAGGUCUUUCAACAGAGCAAAGAAAGAGGUUAACAAUAGCUGUGGAGCUUGUCGCAAAUCCAUCGAUCAUCUUCAUGGAUGAACCGACAUCAGGUCUUGAUGCAAGAGCAGCAGCAAUUGUCAUGAGAACAGUGAGGAACACUGUUGACACUGGACGGACAGUGGUUUGCACAAUCCACCAGCCAAGCAUUGACAUCUUUGAAGCUUUUGAUGAGUUACUAUUACUGAAAAGAGGAGGCCAGGUAAUAUACUCUGGGAAACUGGGUCGCAACUCACAGAAAAUGACUGAAUACUUCGAGGCGAUUCCUGGAGUGCCUAAAAUCAAAGAUAAGUACAACCCUGCAACGUGGAUGCUUGAGGUCAGUUCAGUUGCUGCAGAAGUACGCCUGAGUAUGGAUUUUGCUGACUACUACAGGACUUCAGAUCUGUACAAGCAAAACAAGGUAUUGGUGAGCCAGCUAAGUCGACCAGAACCAGGAACAUCAGAUCUGUAUUUUCCUACAGAAUACUCGCAAUCCAUUAUAGGGCAGUUCAAAGCCUGCCUCUGGAAGCAUUGGCUGACCUAUUGGCGCAGCCCAGAUUACAACCUUGUCAGAUUUUCCUUCACUUUGUUCACAGCCUUGCUGCUGGGCUCCAUCUUUUGGAAGAUUGGCACCAAUAUGGGGGAUGCCAAUACUCUUAGAAUGGUCAUUGGAGCAAUGUACACAGCAGUGAUGUUUGUCGGCAUCAACAACUGUGCAACCGUUCAACCAAUUGUUUCAAUCGAGAGAACAGUUUUCUACCGAGAGAGGGCUGCUGGGAUGUACUCUGCACUGCCAUAUGCCAUUGCUCAGGUUGUCAUGGAGAUACCUUAUGUCUUCGUCCAAACCUCGUAUUACACCCUCAUCGUAUACGCCAUGAUGAGCUUCCAGUGGACAGCUGUCAAGUUCUUCUGGUUCUUCUUCGUCUCCUACUUUUCCUUCCUCUACUUCACCUACUACGGGAUGAUGACUGUAUCAAUCUCACCAAACCAUGAGGUUGCAGGCAUCUUCGCCGCAGCUUUCUAUUCCCUAUUCAACCUUUUCUCUGGCUUCUUCAUCCCAAGACCGAAAAUCCCCAAAUGGUGGAUCUGGUACUACUGGAUUUGCCCAUUGGCAUGGACAGUGUAUGGGCUCAUAGUGACACAAUACGGAGACAUGGAAGACAUCAUCACCGUCCCAGGCCAAUCUAACCAGACAAUCAGCUACUACAUAACACAUCAUUUUGGAUACCACAGGAGCUUCAUGGCGGUCGUUGCACCGGUGCUUGUGCUCUUUGCAGUGUUCUUCGCUUUCAUGUAUGCUCUCUGCCUCAAGAAGUUGAACUUUCAAACACGGUAG